CCUCUCUCAGCUCCGCUUAAUCAUACUGUGUGUGUGCUUGGCGUAUUUUCAGAGAGAGAGAGAGAGGAAGGCCCUCCUAAUGCACGGCAGACCGGCCCCAAGUGGCCUCUCUGUUCCUAGGAGCGCAACAUUC
ensembl:snoRNA